rnacentral:lncRNA from 1 species
GGGGGGGGGGGGGGGGGGGGCGGAAAUACAAUAAAAAUGUAGCCUAGAAUUGGAACUUCAGUUUAUUACUCGGCACAAAUUAUCACACUCUCUCUCCUCAUAGUUGAAAUGUGAUAGACAAAUCAGAAUUGAAUUGAGGUAUUGUGCGUUUGUAGUAAUAUGUGUUUUUAGAGAGAGAGAGAGGGAGAGAGAGAAAGUAGAAUAGUUGCAGAGAAGCAGGCGUUUGGCGUGAACUGUAAGGCAGAGCAGCAGAAGCAAUAAGGGAAGAGAGUGAGUGUGUGUGUGUGUGAGAGAGAGAGAGAGAGAGUGCGUUAAAUGUUUCCCAACAGCGCUGCAGAGAGUACUGUACACAAAGGUUACACCAUUUGCAACGUUGCGUUAUGAAGAGAGAGAAAAAAUUGUGUAUAUAUAUAUAUGUGUGUACGUAUAGGUAGAGAGAGAGAGAAGAUAUAGUUAAACGGCGGUGAGGCGACGUUAAACAGUGACUGGGAAGAAACUAUCAAGUUAAAAGAUGAUAGACGGGCGGUAGUGUUAACAGCAGCCGUCAGCCG